UGUGAGAAGAAGCUGGCUGGGGGUGCAAACUGGAACUCAUGUGGCCAGGGAGGAUGGCUGCUGGAGGAUGACUGCAGUUCUUGGAUUCUUGGAAGACAGAACUGCAGGAGCUUGAAUUUUCAUCCAGGAUUUGGGCCAAUAGUUGCUGGGCAAGUGACAGCGUGCAGCAGAAGAGGAAGAGGGAGGGGAAUUGCAGGCGGAGGCCAUGGAACUGCAGCUGCCUGAUCAUCUGCGGUAUGAUUCUUAGCUUCCGAGGUUAAUCUCAGACACAUGCAGGUCAGCACAGAGAGGGGAUGGGACCAUUGAGUGUGAUCCAGCCUUCUCCUUUCUCCACACACAAGAGAUUUAUACAGACCAAAUGUUUGCAUGGAGCUAAGGCAAAUAUCUACUUUAUUAACUGAUAAUACAGAUAAAAAACGAAGGACAUUUGGAUUCACUUUGGAAAACAUUUACAUGUUUCAAGUUGAAUCAGUUGUUGUGACCAUGUAUGGAACAGAGCCAUAACAAAGAUUAAUGUGGAGGAGCAGAGGGUAGGAAGGGAUGACUCAAGUUAUGUAACGAGGAGGACGUGUAACAAAAGCCAAGAUUGUUUAUAGAAGGAUUUUUUUAAAAAUACCACCUCCUCUUAGUUCAUGCUAGAAUGCUAAGUGUGUUUGGAUUUGGUUGGCAACCAAAGGUGCCAAACCCUAAAAAGUUGGUGUUUACAUCUAGAAAAAUCUUUGAUUUUAGCAAAGAAAGUUGAUUAUCCAUUCUGGGUUUGAUUUGGGGUGCAGUGGGGGUGCAAUUUACAGACAUGGUGUCAAGAGCUGCACUUAAAAAAGAACGGUGGGGGGGGAAAUCAGUUGAUGGGAAAUUAAUUUCCCUAAUCGAGUAUUCUGAGUGUAUUACAGUGGGUGCAUGGAGCUCCUCCAUGCAGAAGUCCCUUUGCAUUUUAAUGGCGAGAUCCAAUCUGGAUAUGAAAAAUAAAUAGAAUUUAAAAAAAAAA